rnacentral:rRNA from 1 species
CGAACGUAGACGGCGACGCCUAACACAUGCGAAGUACGCACGAGAAAGGGACGUUCGGCCCCGGUAAACGUGGCGCACGGUGCGUAACACGUAGGCAAUCCACCUUUGAGCGGGGGAGUAACGUUCCGAAAGGAACGCUAAUACCGCAUAAGACCACGAGCUCCUCGGAGCUUGCGGUUAAAGCUGGCCUCUCUUGAAAGCUAGCUCUCAAAGACGAGCCUGCGGCCCAUCAGCUAGUUGGUAGGGUAAUGGCCUACCAAGGCUAAGACGGGUAGCUGGGUCUGAGAGGAUGAUCAGCCACACUGGAACUGAAACACGGUCCAGACUCCUACGGGAGGCAGCAGUGGGGAAUAUUGGACAAUGGGCGCAAGCCUGAUCCAGCGACGCCGCGUGAGUGAUGAAGGCCUUCGGGUUGUAAAGCUCUGUUGAGGGAGAAGAAAACUAUCACGGCGAAUAGGCGUGGUACUUGACGGUAUCCCUUUAGAAAGCACCGGCUAACUCUGUG